CAGUAGCCGCGGGAAAACGUAGGGCGCAAGCGUUGUCCGGAAUUAUUGGGCGUAAAGAGCUCGUAGGCGGUCUGUCGCGUCUGGUGUGAAAUCCCGAGGCUCAACCUCGGGCUUGCAUCGGGUACGGGCAGACUAGAGUGCGGUAGGGGAGACUGGAAUUCCUGGUGUAGCGGUGGAAUGCGCAGAUAUCAGGAGGAACACCGAUGGCGAAGGCAGGUCUCUGGGCCGCAACUGACGCUGAGGAGCGAAAGCAUGGGGAGCGAACAGGAUUAGAUACCCCCGUAGUCCCUGUCUCUUAUAA
rnacentral:rRNA from 1 species